UNGAAUUACAGGACUCUCCAAACAGCCAUAUC
rnacentral:piRNA from 1 species